AUUUUUCGCUGGCGGCAUGCCUUACACAUGCAAGUCGAACGGCAGCACGGAGCUUGCUCUGGUGGCGAGUGGCGAACGGGUGAGUAAUAUAUCGGAACGUACCCUAGAGUGGGGGAUAACGUAGCGAAAGUUACGCUAAUACCGCAUACGAUCUAAGGAUGAAAGUGGGGGAUCGCAAGACCUCAUGCUCGUGGAGCGGCCGAUAUCUGAUUAGCUAGUUGGUAGGGUAAAAGCCUACCAAGGCAUCGAUCAGUAGCUGGUCUGAGAGGACGACCAGCCACACUGGAACUGAGACACGGUCCAGACUCCUACGGGAGGCAGCAGUGGGGAAUUUUGGACAAUGGGCGAAAGCCUGAUCCAGCAAUGCCGCGUGAGUGAAGAAGGCCUUCGGGUUGUAAAGCUCUUUUGUCAGGGAAGAAACGGUGGGAGCUAAUAUCUCUUGCUAAUGACGGUACCUGAAGAAUAAGCACCGGCUAACUACGUGCCAGCAGCCGCGGUAAUACGUAGGGUGCAAGCGUUAAUCGGAAUUACUGGGCGUAAAGCGUGCGCAGGCGGCUUUGUAAGUCUGAUGUGAAAUCCCCGGGCUCCAACCUGGAAAUCCAUUGGAGACUCCAAGGCUAAAUUUUUGCCGAGGGGGGAGAAUUUCACGUGUAGCCAGGAAAAGGGGUAAAUAGUGGGAGGAACACCGUGGGCGAAGGCACCCCCCUGGUCAAGGAUUGACGUUCAUGCACGAAAGCGUGGGGGACCAAACAGGAAUAGAUACCCUGGUAGUUCACCCCCUAAACGAUGUAUACUAGUUGUCGGGUCUUAAUUGACUUGGUAACGCAGCUAACGCGUGAAGUAGACCGCUUGGGGAGUACGGUCGCAAGAUUAAAACUCAAAGGAAUUGACGGGGACCCGCACAAGCGGUGGAUGAUGUGGAUUAAUUAGAUGCAACGCGAAAAACCUUACCUACCCUUGACAUGGCUGGAAUCCUUGAGAGAUCAGGGAGUGCUCGAAAGAGAACCAGUACACAGGUGCUGCAUGGCUGUCGUCAGCUCGUGUCGUGAGAUGUUGGGUUAAGUCCCGCAACGAGCGCAACCCUUGUCAUUAGUUGAUACGAAAGGGCACUCUAAUGAGACUGCCGGUGACAAACCGGAGGAAGGUGGGGAUGACGUCAAGUCCUCAUGGCCCUUAUGGGUAGGGCUUCACACGUCAUACAAUGGUACAUACAGAGCGCCGCCAACCCGCGAGGGGGAGCUAAUCGCAGAAAGUGUAUCGUAGUCCGGAUUGUAGUCUGCAACUCGACUGCAUGAAGUUGGAAUCGCUAGUAAUCGCGGAUAAACAUGUCGCGGUGAAUACGUUCCCGGGUCU
rnacentral:rRNA from 1 species